rnacentral:rRNA from 1 species
UUUUUAAUAUAAUAUUUGAUCCUUUCGUACUAAAAUAUUUUUUAUAUUUAAGAUAGAAACCAACCUGGCUUACACCGGUUUAAACUCAGAUCAUGUAAAAUUUUAAAGGUCGAACAGACCUAAUAUUUUAGCUUCUCCGCCAAAAAUAAAUUUUAAUCCAACAUCGAGGUCGCAAACCCUUUUUUCAAUAAGAACUAUUAAAAGGAUUACGCUGUUAUCCCUAAGGUAAUUUAUUCUUUUAAUCAUUUAGAUGGAUCAAAAACUCAAUUAUCAUUGUUAUCAUAUAAAAAAAGUUAAUUUUAUUUUUUUGUCACCCCAACAAAACUUAGACUAAUUUAUAAAAAUAAAAUUCUAAAAUUAUUAAAAUAGUUCUUAGUUAAACUCUAUAGGGUCUUCUCGUCUUUAAACUUUAUUUAAGCUUUUUAACUUAAAAAUAAAAUUCUAAUUUUAAAUUUGAAACAGUAAUUUUCUCAUCAAACCAUUCAUACAAGCUUUCAAUUAAAAAACUAAUGAUUAUGCUACCUUUGCACAGUCAAAAUACUGCGGCCCUUCAAACUUCAGUGGGCAGGCCAAACUUUAAAUUAAAUUC